UCGCUGAAUGUGUUGCUAAGCGCAAAACUCGAGAACGGUUGGACCGAUUUCGCUAAUUUUUUUUUUUAAAUAUUCCUUGAAGUACGAGGAUGGUUCUUACCUAGAGAAAAAUUCUAAAAAAAAAAAAAAAUUAUAAAUUUCCUGAAAAAUCUAAAAACAACACUUUUCUAUACUCCCAUACAAAAGAUUUGUGAUAAUACUUAAAAGUCAAUUUGAAC
rnacentral:misc_RNA from 1 species